AAAUUUGAGGCCUCAUCCUUUGCUGAUACGUGUGUCUCUGUGUAUCCGUUUGUUUUCAUGUGUACAUGCGGGGGUGCCUUGCUUUUCCUUCUUGGUUUACCUCUGUCUCUUUUCCCUUUCCUUUGCUUCUUUCCGUGUGGCUCUAAUAUUUUGUUGUGGACCCGUAUCAUCUCUGUUGGACUUGGACCAGACCAACAUGCUCCUGCCGCUGUUUCGUUGUGAGUCCAUGCAAUUCGAGGUAAAGCGGUGCGGUGCUACCGCGUGUCAUGCACGAAAGGUUCCCAGCACGACGCGCGUCCCGCGUGGGCCCUUCCUGCCUGCGAUAGAGGGAUUUCCUUCCCCCACUAUUCUCUCCCCCUAAGAAAAAAUCUCCUGUGUCAUCCCUGAGCUGUCUCACCCCCGCUCCUCCUCCUUCUCUUCCUCGCCGUCGGCCGGAGAAGGGCCGAGGGAGAACGUGCUGACGGGGUCCGGGUGCGUGGGGUUAGCGGCGAGGAUGGAGCGGCACUCAACGCAGCGAAACGGAGGCGGCCGGCGCCGACCGAGUGAGCCGGUCAUGGUCGCCAGUGGAGGCGGCGGCCAGCUGGAGCACCGGGCGAGGAAGGUGAGCAGGCCGGGUGAGGGAUUCCUACGCCGGCGGCAAGCCGUCGAUGCGGGCACAGGGACGGCUCCCCAUGGCGGCGCAGCAGUGGAAGAGAUGGAGGAGUCCGCCCGUGGUCCUCCCCCACCAGCACGAGGCCACCAUGCUCCUCCAGCUUCUCUCGCGCCGCCUUGAGGUCGGCACGCCGCCAUGGCUCCAGCCCUACCGCCGCGAGGUUGUCGUGCCGCCCCUGCUCCUCCCCACUGGAGGGGCGCCGCAGGUCCUCACCUUGUCCAUCUCACAGGCGCGAGGCCACACCGCCGUGGAAGGUCAUGGAUGCCACUCGCCCGUGUGAGACCUGCGCCGCCAGCCUCCUCCCUGCUGGGCUAUGUCCUCACCUCCGGGACUGAUUACAGACGCAGGUUUGGAAAUUCCCACUCCGGCUGUAGGAUGUCAUUCAGCUCGACAUCUUCAGCGAACGUCGUGGUGGGAUUGUUGGUGCUCCCUGCUGCUGAACUCUCUGGCUGCCCAACUGUUGACCUGCCUACCCGAAUGCGUCGGGAUGAUCCAGGUUUUCUCCAACAUUUUCCAACGUUGACAGUUUGAUCUUGGAGCUGCAGGUUUUGUGCAGCGGGAGUAUGUGGUGUUCCUAGGUCUUCUUAAUUUAUCAUAUAUUUUUAGUGCUACUCUGAAGUGUAGCUGAACGUGUCUGUCUAAUUCACUGAGUAGUUGUGCCCACUCCCUUGCAGGCCAUUUGCAACAGGUUGCAAUCUGACCAGAUCAGGAUGCAGCUUCCGAUGGUGUGCUUGGUGCAAGAGAGUGGUGUUAAUAUUACCACGAAAUAGGCUUUAUGUCAACUGUUCUUGAGGUCUAUUUUUAAAGGGGUCCUAUGUACAAAAGCUGUUAUUUCCCAUGAAUCUAUGAGGGGUUCUAUCCACAUACGUAUUGUGAGGUACUCCAGAAAUAAUAUAUAGCUUCUUUACUUAAUAAGAUGGUGUAGAAGCCACGGCAGGAGUUGUGUUUGCUGCCACAAAGUCAAUACAAAAGUUUGUUUCUGCAGAGAAAAUUCUGAGAAGGUCUCAACUUAUUUAUGAAUGUGAGGCAGCCGGACUAUAAAUCAGAAGUGCCAUCAGUUACAUUUCGCUAGCAGGCAUAUGGCCUAUAUCUGCAAGUGUGACCUUUGGUAGUUCCUUCCGAAUCCUUGGUUAGUCUAGCAACGUCUGAUGCUUAGAAACAGGAAAUGUGGAAGGCAAUAGAGCAGUCAGUCAGUCAGAUGUCUGACAAAAAUUUGUCUCACAAGGAACAUUGUCAGAAUAUUUUGCAAUUGCCAUGGGAUGCAAUCCAUUUUUGAAGGUUUGGACAACUGGAUAUACUGGCAUCUGCCUGAGCUUCAUCACUCUGUUCAAUUUAGAGUUGGAAGCAAACAACACAAUAGUUGUAGGUACUAUGGUGGUGUUGUGCUCUAUCUCAUGCGGUGAGCAUGCGUUCUUUUUGCUCAAAUUCAAACAUUGUAACACACGAUUUUGCUGGACAAUUUAUUUUCAUCCAAUUCUACAAACAAUAUUUAAAAUCAAA